UGUAUGGGCAAUGGUCAUUUCUCACCUCCUCUCUCUCUCUCUCUCUCUCUCUCUCUCUCUCUCUCUCUCUCUCUCUGUGAGACACAACACAGAGAGACACAAACGCAUAAGGGAUGUCAAAGAGAAAUAAAAAUGAGAUCUGAGAGGAUAAUGUGGGUGAAAUUUGUGGAAGUCUUGGUCAUGCUUUUCCACAGCUUUCUUGAACUUCUGUUGCUUCGUCUUAAUUAAUCUCGACGAUUAACACCAUGGAAGCUCAAGAAAGCUGUGGGACAACAUGGCAAUUCAGGAUUUUGUUGGGGUUUCUUUCACAUGAUGCUGUUCAGACAAGAUCUCUCUCCAUAUAUGCCACAGUCCAAGGCGGUCCUUUUAUCUGCAACGAUCUGGCAAUGUGAGAGGGUUGCGUCAGUAUAUCAAGAAGAGAAGUUCAGUAUAUCAAGAAGAGAAGUACUCCAUGGAGAGUAGAUUCUUUUUUAUAUUCUUUUUGUUUUUUGGUUAAAUCUACUGCAACACGUUUGAGCCAUGCAUGAAGGGGCAGCGGAUUUAUAUAUUUCUCAAGUUUUCUGCAGAAUUAGGUUAGAAUAACUGUGGAUUCCAACUUAUCUUCUUGCCCAAGCCAGUCGAAAAGGUAAUAAAUUAAUAUUUUCUAAAGAAAUUAUUAAUUUUUUUUUUCUGCAUUCUGACAUAUAUAUAUAAUUCUCAUUUGCUUGUGUAAUUAAUUAGUUGUUGUUUUUUUUUUUUUUGGCUUUGUAAAAUCAUUGGAAUUUUGUUGCAUAUUUGCUAUUUGAGAACAUUUUGUUUUCUAUUAAUUGGCCCUUGGAUUUCGAAAAAUAACUUUUUACUGCCAUUUCUGCUACUACGAUCUUGAACAAGUCAUGAUCAGCUGAGGACAGAAAAGGCUCGCUACAUGCAAGAACCACAUGGGGAAUUUUCAAAAGAGCCAAAGAGCUUUAAAGUUAGCUGCCUCUCACAAGCUUUCUUGUCCUCAACUACCUUUUCUUUUUUGUUUCUUUUUGGGAUUUCUCGAAUUCCUCCAAUGGUUUUUUGGCAAGUACACCAAACUCAAUUGUGGGCAAUAAUAAUAUAUCGUCACCAUCUUUGGCACCA